GGAAGUAAAAGUCGUAACAAGGUUUCCGUAGGUGAACCUGCGGAAGGAUCAUUGUCGUGACCCUGACCAAAACAGACCGCGCACGCGUCAUCCAAUCCGUCGGCGACGGCACCGUCCGUCGCUCGGCCAAUGCCUCGACCACCUCCCCUCCUCGGAGUGGGUGGGGGCUCGGGGUAAAAGAACCCACGGCGCCGAAGGCGUCAAGGAACACUGUGCCUAACCCGGGGGCAUGGCUAGCUUGCUAGCCAUCCCUCGUGUUGCAAAGCUAUUUAAUCCACACGACUCUCGGCAACGGAUAUCUCGGCUCUCGCAUCGAUGAAGAACGUAGCGAAAUGCGAUACCUGGUGUGAAUUGCAGAAUCCCGCGAACCAUCGAGUCUUUGAACGCAAGUUGCGCCCGAGGCCACUCGGCCGAGGGCACGCCUGCCUGGGCGUCACGCCAAAACACGCUCCCAACACCCCUCAUCGGGAAUCGGGAUGCGGCAUCUGGUCCCUCGUCUCGCAAGGGGCGGUGGACCGAAGAUCGGGCUGCCGGCGUACCGCGCCGGACACAGCGCAUGGUGGGCGUCCUCGCUUUAUCAACGCAGUGCAUCCGACGCGCAGCCGGCAUGAUGGCCUCAAAACGACCCAGCAAACGAAGCGCACGUCGCUUCGACCGCGACCCCAGGUCAGGCGGGACUACCCGCUGAGUUUAAGCAUCAAUAAGCGGAGGA
rnacentral:rRNA from 1 species